ACGAACGCUGGCGGCGUGCUUAACACAUGCAAGUCGAACGAAGAGCGAUGGAAGCUUGCUUCUAUCAAUCUUAGUGGCGAACGGGUGAGUAACGCGUAAUCAACCUGCCCUUCAGAGGGGGACAACAGUUGGAAACGACUGCUAAUACCGCAUACGAUCUAAUCUCGGCAUCGAGGAUAGAUGAAAGGUGGCCUCUACAUGUAAGCUAUCACUGAAGGAGGGGAUUGCGUCUGAUUAGCUAGUUGGAGGGGUAACGGCCCACCAAGGCGAUGAUCAGUAGCCGGUCUGAGAGGAUGAACGGCCACAUUGGGACUGAGACACGGCCCAGACUCCUACGGGAGGCAGCAGUGGGGAAUCUUCCGCAAUGGACGAAAGUCUGACGGAGCAACGCCGCGUGAGUGAUGACGGCCUUCGGGUUGUAAAGCUCUGUUAAUCGGGACGAAAGGCCUUCUUGCGAACAGUUAGAAGGAUUGACGGUACCGGAAUAGAAAGCCACGGCUAACUACGU
rnacentral:rRNA from 1 species